UUUAUCUCAAUACUUUGUUAUAUACCCUUUGUUGGCAAUGACAGAGGUCAAACGUUUUCUGUAAGUCUUCACAAGGUUUUUCAAGGUGGCUGUCUAAAUACUUUUUGCCCCACUGUAUUUCUGUGAUGUAAUUAGCAACAUGACUAGAGAGUUGUCUGUCAUACUGUACACGUGUACUGGUCCCAAGUUCUGAUGUCAUCAGCCAUGUUGUGCUAGUGCCAAAAGGUCUGAAACUACUGGAUUGUGUGAACUGAGUCUGCGGGUCGGUGGCUGUGACUGCCAGUAACUGGACAGUACUAGAUUGAGGCUGGGCAGAACUACUAUUUACUUGAAUACAAUGUUGAAGAAAGAGUACUGUACCCGGGUAUCAUGCUGUUUAUAUGCUACAUAAAACCGAAAUGUUCAUGUACUGUGGAGAGACUGAAGGACAAACCUCAUCUUUGUUCUCGCCUGGAUAAAAGGCAGCAGGCCAAAUACCUUCCUGGCAGCUCCCAUUUACAGUCCAGCCUCGUGCAGCUCUGGUCUGGGCUGCCGUGCGUCCAUCCGGCUGAUAAGGAUCAGUCUACUAGCUGGGCCACACAGACCUGUUCUGUAUGGGGAGGAGGAGAGGAGAGGAAGAGACGGGGACACAGACGAACAGCCACUUCAGCCAAACUACUCUCAUACCUGAAGCACCUGCAGGAUGUACUGUCAAAUUCAAGAUGCAACAUUCUUUUUAACGUUUUCUAGGUCACAAGUGCUUAUUUUUUACGUCUUGUUCAUUUGAAGUAUGGAGAGAAGAGGGUGACAAAGAGGAGAGAAAAAAACAAGAUGAAAACUUGUCAGUGGAAUUAAACAGAGCACAUUGACAGAAGGAAAUCGUGGCAUUCAAUGUGACAAUUUGAGGGGGAAAGCUCCUGAUUAGUUCAGUAAGACGUGCCAGUUGUGUUCGGCUAGAGCUAGAUUUUUUUAUCUCUUCUGAAUGGUAUAGAUAUAUUUUAGGUCAACUGUUUUUGUUGAAAUGUCUUAUUAUUUGUAGUAUUCAUAUACGUUAGUAGGUGGGUAAUUCUUCAUUUGAACAUGGUUUACUUUGCUUUCACAUAAUUUGCCUUGUUGCCGCUCCAUCACACAAAUUGUCUUUGUUACAGUGUCUGUUCCAUUGUGUUCUGUGGUAUGUUUUAAUCAACUCCAUUAAAUAUUCAGAAGUGAAUUCUGCUACAAGUUCAAGAGACUCUCUAAAAAGGUCUUUUUUUGGUAAUACAUGCAGAAGCACUUGGUAAAAUCAUGUCCACAGCUCUGUUUACUUCUGAGUUGGAUUCAGUGUGGAGCAGCAUUCAGUAAUUGAUGCAGCACUCCUUAUCAGAACAACUCUUAUCUGUUCUUUUUCUCUCGUUAACCGAUCUGUUUCCAGUUUAUUUUGAAAUGAGAUGCUUUGAUUUAUUUAGAAUGAAGACAGAAACCAAAUGGCCGCGGUGAAAAUGAGGAAAGCACAGGUUUCGAAAUGAGCUAAUUAUCAUCAAUGGCACAACACUGUGGCUUUUGUCACUCACUGUGGCAUGGAGGAUGGUGGUUAAAGAACAGGAUUCAGUAGUGUGAUGACGCACACACAACUUUGCAGAUUUUAAUAGAUUUUUGGACAAAAGGCUUCUUUCUAUACGCAGGACUAAACUAAUUGACUAAUUGGAUCAGCACAAACUCACCACAUAAACAUUUUGUCUCGUUUUAACCCAAUUUAAAAACCAAAAUGCAACAAAUGGCCUCAAUGUUUUGUUGACUUUCCACUACAAAUAUCAAUCAAAGCUGAAUGUUGAACUGACAUCCGUGCCCAGUGGAUUUGGGAGAUUGGCUGCAUAUCCAGACCUAUAUUUGUCAUCAUUUGAUACAACAGAAUAUCUUUUAAUCAAUGGGGAGAGGUUCUUUAAUUCAGAGCACACUUUUUAAGUCAAUAAUUAUAAAGCCUUUGUAAGAAUAAGGAGGAUGUGAGCUACAUAUUUUGGGGAAGAAACAAAAAACAAGGCUACACUGCGAUUUAGGAUCUCUUAUUUAGGUCUGCCACUGAUGAUAAACUUAUGCAGGUAAAAUGAAUUUCUCAUCAUCAACUAGUGAAUCGUUGAAGGUCACUUGGCAAGGUUCCAUCUCAUAAAUAAAACAUUUUGUAUAUAAUUCUCUUAAUGUCACCCUGCACAUGUCUCUCUUUCACUGUGCUUCCCUUCACUCAAUCUGGUCCAUUUUAACAUGAGAUUUUAUCUUGUUUUGCUCAUAUCAUGUUGUUUGCUUUCAACUGCUGUUUUCAUUUUCAGUGGGGGUCCCAGUGUUGCUGAUUUAUUGUGGUCACUGCCUCAACUAGACUAAACUGAAGUCAUAUUUUGCAGAAUAUUGGUGUAGAUGUGUCCUCAUACAGCGAUAUCCACAUAGGCUUCCUCAGUAUCAAUGUAUAUUGAGAAUAAUUAACAGAUACGAAUAACUGCUGUUAGUCCCAUCCACAUUAGCACCCAGUGGCCUCCCCUAUACAUCACCCCUAAAAAGACAAGACUUACAAUUUCACCUUUUCUAAAUGUUGUUCUAUUUUUAGGAAAUAGUAGGGUUGAGCUUAGUGUCAAAUAUGAAUAUGUGUCAGUGACUUUUAUAGGGUCAGAUGAGGUCAAAUGAGUCAUUAUCAGUACAUUGAAAGUACUUUCCCUGUUGUCACAACUGAGUGAGAUAAUUUAAUUUGGUCUUGUGGGUGAUAAUGAGGAAAUGAUUGUUACACCAUCUGUAAAACCCAUCUAUACAGAAACACUCUGAAACAUUUCAGGAUGGUGUCUUAUUCUUUUAAUUUUAUUUUUGUUCGUUAGCACAUCCAGGGUUGAAUCUCAGACUACUAUUGUUCAUCAUCAUCUCUGAAAUAGUGUGUAAAUUGUACAUAUACCUACCUCAACUUGGUUUCUGAACAGAAUACCCUCCUCUGACAUCAUUGAUACAUGGUCAUGUGUUGAUCUUCUUACCAAGAUCAUAUGUGGAAAUGUGAAACAAAUGAUAUGGUGUUGAGUGUUUUGAUGGUGGAGGGUAUUCUGCUUACUACUUGAUUUAAGUGUAUCAGACAGCAGACUGGAAAAGACACUUGUCAGCAAACCCACUUAUUGUUUAAGAGGAAUUGAUGGUUGUGACGAUUUAAGCUGCUUACAUCUGUUUCGUUUGCCUUAAGAAAACAUUUGUGCUUUUUGUCUUAUUUCUUUCAUUCUCAUAAGGAUUUGUUUUUGUGCACCAUGUGUGGUUAUGAUGAUCAAAGUGGGCUCUAGGUUUAUCAAAGUUCUCUGUUCAGGGCCCAAUAGCAUUGUGUUUCGAUAAAGUUACUGUGCUUAUACUAUGAUAUAAUUCUCCAUGAUGCAAGAUAAACCUAUUAAGCUCACAGUUUAAAUGGACACCCCUGACUUUUACCCCAAAAUGAACUACUAUUAUUUCCUGUCUGCGAUUUGGGUCCAUUAUUGUUGUUUGAGUUUUGUUCUGAGGUAUACAUCAACAUUAGAUACUGGUAAUGUAGAUGAAUAGCAGUGAUAUACUGAAUGAUACUACGCCACCCCUAUAGCCUAUAGCACAUUAGUACAAGCACAGUAACGAAUGAACAUAGGAAUAAUGGCAUUCCAUUUUGUUUGACUUCUAAAGCAUAAUGUACAGAUGUUCUUAGUGUCUCAGUUGCAAAUGGAGGAUCACAAUAGUAAUUGAAAAACAAAACUAUCUAACUGUAAAUAAAUGUAUGCAAAUGUAUAUGUUAAAAGAACAUUCCUCUUGGAGUCCUGAUUGUGAAGGGUGUCUGUUGACUGGAGGUCGCCGCCACAAGAUGGCAGUUACAUAUGAUGUAAUACAGAUUCAAAUAGUGUGGUGUAUGUGAUGUAUUAAAUGACAAAAAUGCAAAAAACUAAAAAACUGUUCAUUAUUGGUCUUUAAGUAAGUUGCAUUGUGUGAUGAAAGUCUGAAGUGCUUAAAAUGCAUUGAAAUCAGAUCCAAACUAAUUUUAUUGUAAAUUGAAGAGUUAAAAAAUAACCUGACAUUUUGGUAUAUGUUGGAAUUUUGUACAUUUUUAUUUGAUUCUAAUGCAACACAAAGUACCAAAAUUAAUUUAAUAAAGUACACUGUGGUGAUUUU